UCUUCUCGUUCUUCCCCAUCACUUCUCCAGAAUCCCAAUUUCUCACAUCUCUAACCUAACAGAUUUGGGAAUUGGGGCAAUUGGCAUUUGACAAGAAGGAUUUCUGAGACUACUCAGAGUCUCAGACUAGCACCGAAAUUUCGUUGGGUUAUAAUAUUAUGGCUCCAAUUAGAAAAUAUCCUUCUGGUGCUCAAAAAAGAAAAGAGAAGCAAAAGAGAGAUGCAUUAGUUAAGCUUCAAGCCGGAUCUUUUAGUAAG